rnacentral:rRNA from 1 species
AAUUAACGCUGGCGGCAGGCCUAACACAUGCAAGUCGAACGAGGUAGCAAUACCUAGUGGCGGACGGGUGAGUAACGCGUGGGAACGUGCCCCUUGGUACGGAAUAGCCCUGGGUAACUGGGAGUAAUACCGUAUGUGGUCGAGAGGCGAAAGAUUUAUCGCCAAGGGGUCGGCCCGCGUUGGAUUAGGUAGUUGGUGGGGGAAUGGCCUACCAAGCCGACGAUCCAUAGCUGGUUUGAGGGGAUGAUCAUCCACACUGGGACUGUGACACGGACCAGACUCCACCGGGAGGCAGCAGUGGGGAAUCUUAGACAAUGGGGGAAACCCUGAUCUAGCCAUGCCGCGUGAUCGAUGAAGGCCUUAGGGUUGUAAAGAUCUUUCAGUGGGGAAGAUAAUGACGGUACCCACAGAAGAAGCCCCGGCUAACUCCGUGCCAGCCGCCGCCGUAA